GUUCCUGCUAUUUGAUUGCACGAACAUUGAAACUUUGAUGGUUCAAAUUUCUAGUUUUUUUAUGAAAAUUCAGGACACUUAAUUGCAUAGACAUGAAUUUAAACAUGCCUGUACUUGUACUCAGUAAAAGGAAGGUAAGUAGGUCCAUUACAGGCCGGCUCUGGACCAUAAGGAUGUUUAUGAGCAAGCACUCAUUCCAGCAGUGAAUGAGGUUUCAGAAGGCUUCAAUCUAUUUCAGCUAUGGUCAAACGAGUACAGGGAAGACAUAUACGAAUGGAGGGGAAUGCAAAAUAUCAAAGGUGUUUCAAUGGUUUAUCUUAUAUUUAAUAUUAUGUAUAUGCAUUCUGAUAUCAUUCACCAAUCAAUCGAAACUAUUGCUUAUCUGUAGCUGUAUUAAAAGCAGAUAUUCGAAUACUUGAGAACUAGAUUUUAGAGUAUAGUAUUGAAAAGUUCACUUUUUUUGGUUCUCCUCACAGUCAGACCCACUCUUUUCUAUUACAAUUCACGUUAAGAAAGCAAUGUUAGAAGUUGAAGAUACAUAAACACAAACACACAAAACUAGUUGCAAUGAGUUUACUUUUAUUUUGACAUGUCUUAAAAGUUCUCACCUUGUAACUGUAUAAUCUAUCAUAGCCACAGUUUGAUCAGCAGUUCAUUGACUCAAGGAAACCUCGAGUAGUAUCCUAGAUUCUGCCCACAACUGCAAAGGCAAGGAAUAUCAAAAUAAUCCUGAGGUUUUUAGUUCGAAGAAAUAAAUGGUUCAAACCAAGCAUUUUUGGAGGCAAAAGAGCUACAUUCUGGCUGCAGCCAGAUAUUUCCAGCUGCAGCCAGAAUCUUUGAAAAAUCCCGCUGCAGCGUCGUCAGGGAAGCUUAGGGUUUCUCGGAUUUCCGUUGCAGCUGAAUUAAACCCGCUGCAGCGGGUUAGCUGUUUUCACAGCCCCUGUUCGCUCAAUCGGCUGCAGUUGAAAGAAUCUCGCUGCAGCCGAAUUUCCAAGUGCUCAUUGCCUCGAAUCUGGCUGCAGCCAAAAAGAACUGGCUGCAGCCGAAUUUGCCAAAGAUUCUGGUUGCAGCUGGAAACGUUGACAUGCCGCCGCUGCAAGAAUAGGAGGCGAGACACGUCUCGCCUCCCAGGGUUGUCCAAGAGAAGCUGGAGAGAUUACUAAAAGCUUACUGACUUUAGGGAGGGUAACAAAUGCAAGCUCACAAGGUUACUUGGAGGUAGAACCAAGACAUGAAUUUACAACCACAUCGCUUGAGGAAACCUUGAGUUUGCCAGAAUACGCACACGACAAAUAAAAUAUCAAAAAUAAGCCUAAUAUGCAAUUUAAUCCUGUAUUAACUGGUGACACUGAAAGUUGUGUUUGAACAUUGGGUGAAUGCUUGGCGGAAAGACUUAUGUUUAAACAUUGAGUGAUUUAUUUAUUUCAAAACUAAAAUUUCACCUUGGCUUUUCCCCAGUUGCGUAAGAAGCUGCCCAAGCUUUUCAAAUAAUGCCCUUUACUGCUUCUCGCUCUUGAAUCAGAGUUACAUCCUUUCAAAAUCUCUUCAUUUUCUUUUAUCU